rnacentral:rRNA from 1 species
UAGGGAAUCUUCCACAAUGGGCGCAAGCCUGAUGGGGCAACACCGCGUGAGUGAAGAAGGGUUUCAGCUCGUAAAGCCCUGUUGUUAAAGAAGAACACGUAUGAGAGUAACUGUUCAUACGUUGACGGUAUUUAACCGGAAGGUCACGGCUAACUACGUGACAG